rnacentral:rRNA from 1 species
AGGAUGAACGCUGGCGGCGUGCUUAACACAUGCAAGUCGAACGAUGAAGGCUGGAGCUUGCUCUGGCUGGAUUAGUGGCGAACGGGUGAGUAACACGUGAGUAACCUGCCCCAGACUCUGGGAUAAGCGCUGGAAACGGCGUCUAAUACCGGAUACGAG